UACGUAGGGUGCGAGCGUUGUUCGGAAUUAUUGGGCGUAAAGAGCUCGUAGGCGGUGUGUCACGUCGGCCGUGAAAACCUGCAGCUUAACUGUGGGCGUGCGGUCGAUACGGGCAUCACUGGAGUUCGGCAGGGGAGACUGGAAUUCCUGGUGUAGCGGUGAAAUGCGCAGAUAUCAGGAGGAACACCGGUGGCGAAGGCGGGUCUCUGGGCCGAUACUGACGCUGAGGAGCGAAAGCGUGGGGAGCGAACAGG
rnacentral:rRNA from 1 species